ensembl:lncRNA
UUUUCAUCAUCCCACCCUGUCUUUACAUGACACAUUGUUAAUGCAUGUCAUUCUACUGCUGAAUUCCCAUAUGAAAUGUCCCACUAAUAAUGUGUACCUGAGACUUGGAGGUGUGAAAUUAAGAGAACAGUAUCAUAGUACUUAGCUCCCUAUCAAACAAAGCCUGCGAUGUGCAAAAAGUCACUGGACUGUCACCGGGCUGAACACUGCUAUGACCGGCAAGACAAAACACCAGUGGGGAUUUCUGCGCGGUAAAUGGAAUGACGAUGAGAAGGAAAACAAUAGCAAAACGAAUAAUCGACUGCAAAUAUGAAGAACAGCAUCGGAUUUAUGAUGAAAGUGCCACUGAGCUUUCGCGGAUCACCGUUCCAUGUAGUCUUAAGGUGGACAACUCCAUAGCAGGGUUUCCAGGUGAUGGAGAUAACGUGAUGGAGAUACUGGGAGGACUCCAGUCUUGCUCCAGAGCAGAUCUCAUCACCAUGGUGCUGAGCAUGCACAGAGAGAUGGACAGCCUCAGAGAACAAAUCCGAUGCCUCACAGCUUGUGGAAAAUUGGCACAAAACCUUGAAAGCUUGGUGGAGACAACUGACUACUGGUUGAGUAACACCACAAGAACGACAUCACCCGGACUACCAAAAGCAUUUGAGGGCAGUGAGGUUCCUGCUGUGUACACAAACUCAAUUGUGGCAAAUGGGACGCAGAGCAAAACGGAGACAGCGAAUCAUCAUCAAGGAGUUCUCAUAGUAGCCAAUGAUGGGGCCCCAGAGGAAAACACUCCUCCUCUUUUCCAAGAUUUUAUUACAGCUGACGUCCUUGAGCACUGCAACACUGGAACCACAGCUCAGAAACUGACCAACGAUCUUCUGCGCGGACUUUAUGAGAGGGACUGCAUGGCUUCACAUUCAAUCUCAGGCAUCGUCAACAACAAGCGGGGCCAGCCGAAGCCUGCCCUGCCAGCACACGAGGUCCAGGCCAUACUGAGGGCAGUACAGCACUUUUUCCCAGGGAAGACCGACUCAGAAAUCAAGGGCUACAUCCGGCAGAAGCUGCAGAAUGAAGCCAAGCAACUACGAAAGAAACAUCACCCAGCAACCGCAGGUCACCCAGCAACCGCAGGUCAUCCAGCAUCCGAUGGAGGAACGGGAUCAGAGACUUCCAACGCAUAGAAAGAUGCCUCGCUCUAUGGCAUAGUGGGCUCAUAGGGCCUCCUCAGACAGAGUUAAAAGAGUUAUAGCUUAAAGCUAAGAGUUAUAGCUAAGAGCUAAGAGUUAUAGUCAUAGCUAAGAGUUAUAGCUAAGAGCUAAGAGUUAUAGUUAUAGCUAAGAGCUACGAGCUAAUAGUUAUAGCUAAGAGUUAUAGUUAUAGCUAAGAGCUAAGAGCUAAGAGUUAUAGUUAUAGCUAAGAGUUAAGAGUUAUAGUUAUAGAAUAGCACCGAGAGAGACAGGGGCUCAGAGGAGUCUUGGUAUUUUGUAUUAGUUUCUUGAGGACCACCUGAGAGUCAGAGGUGAUGCCUACAGUACCUUAGUAAAGUGGACCAAGUAAUUAGAGAAAGUUUGUGGAGGAGUAGCCACCUGUCAUGUGUAUCCAAAAUUAGAGUUGUGUAUUGCAGGUUCUGAAAGCAAAGGCUUUCUUAAGUAUUUGGUGUUAUGGUUGAACUAAGUAACUCAAGUGAUUGGUGAAACAGCUGACCAUUCAUUUGAAAAAAUAAACAAAACACAUUUUCACGUUCUUUUUCA